CCUACGGGUGGCAGCAGUGAGGAAUAUUGGUCAAUGGGCGCAAGCCUGAACCAGCCAAGCCGCGUGAAGGAUGACGGCUCUAUGGGUUGUAAACUUCUUUUAUAUGGGAGUAAAGUGGAGUAUGUAUAUUGAUUUGCAUGUACCUUACGAAUAAGGAUCGGCUAACUCCGUGCCAGCAGCCGCGGUAAUACGGAGGAUCCAAGCGUUAUCCGGAUUUAUUGGGUUUAAAGGGAGCGUAGGCGGGUUGAUAAGUUAGUUGUGAAAGUUUGCGGCUUAACCGGAGAACUGCAGUUGAUACUGUUAACCUAGAGUACAGUAGAGGUAGGCGGAAUGCGUGGUGUAGCGGUGAAAUGCUUAGAUAUCACGAAGAACACCGAUUGCGAAGGCAGCCUGCUGGACUGUAACUGACGCUGAGGCACGAAAGCGUGGGGAGCAAACAGGAUUAGAUACCCGAGUAGUC
rnacentral:rRNA from 1 species